GGGGGGGGGGGGGGGGGGGGCGGGGGGAGGGGGGGCGGGGGGGGGGAGGAGGAGGGUGCGCCGCGGGGGUUGGCGGCGGACGGGUGGGGGACCGGUGGAUAACCUACCUGUGAGCCGGGGGGACCUUCGGGCGCCCGGAGCUAAUACCGGAUAGUAUAUGGAACCGCGUGGUUCAAUAGUGACCGACGGUUUUGCUGUCACGUAUAGCUGACUCCGCGCCGCAUUAGCUAGUUGGUAAGGUACCGGCUUACAAAGGCACCGAUGCGUAGCCGACCUGAGAGGGUGAUCGGCCACACUGGAACUGAGACACGGUCCAGACUCCUACGGGAGGCAGCAGUAGGGAAUCUUCAGCAAUGGGCGAAAGCCUGACGGAGCAACGCCGCGUGAGUGAUGAAGGUCUUCGGAUCGUAAAACUCUGUUAUUAGGGAAGAACAAAUGUGUAAGUAACUAUGCACGUCUUGACGGUACCUAAUCAGAAAGCCACGGCUAACUACGUG
rnacentral:rRNA from 1 species